CGAGGCUCCAGCGCGCUCUCCACGAGGCUCAACCGCGCUCUCUCCUCCCGCCCGACGGGAACCCGGUCCUGUCUUCAUCACUACCGUAUUAGGCCUCAAUAAGGACGACGAUAUUCAAGCCAUGCUCAAGGGUACUGUCAUACAGAAGAUCAAAUCCAGCUCACGGAUGAAUUCCCACUUUUACAAGCUGAAUGAAGAUUGUUGGACGGUGUGGUAAACUUCGAAAAAGGUCCUGAAGACAGCUAGGAGCCAAAUGUAUGCUGCCUGACCUGCAGAGUUCCUCAAGCAUUUCAGGGCACCACAGUAGCAGGGUGUCUCGAUCGACGACAUCAAGGAGAUGAGACCAGGUCACCAGCCGGAGGGAAUGAAGCGGUAUGCCACGAAGAUACCCACCGACCGCUGUUUUACCAUCGUAUUUAAGGGCACAAGGAAGAACUUGGAUCUGGUGGCCUCCAACGCCAACCAGGCCUGGCAUUGGAUCCGUGGGCUCUCCAAACUAAAGCAGAGAGGCUGCAGCAUGAACAAGAGAGAGCAGAUGGUCCAGAAUCCAUCUAGGAGUGGGUCACGGCAGAGCGCCAGGGAGAGAGGGUACCACUUCCCUCAUGGUCUCCAACAGCAGCCCCCAAGUCCACCCCUACCCCAUGCAGAAGGUCAAAGGCACCUCCCCAUGUUAGAAGCUUUUGCUGUUUGUUUCCCCUAUGUGACUUGCAUUUCCCUCAGGCCCUCAGACUCCAUGGAUUCCAUUAGUUACUAAAGCUUUUUCAGUAUUAUUUUAAUAUAUAGUCAAUCUUUAGGUUUUAAUG